rnacentral:tRNA from 1 species
GGGUGUGUGGCCGAGUGGUUAAGGCGCCUGCGUCAGGGAGCUUAGGGCCGCAUUCACGACUGGAGUGCACCAAAUUGGGUGGCGGGCCAAGAACCGCCCAGCAUUCGCCAGCGUGAAGCCUCUGAGUGAUAAUAUCACUCCGGACGAGAAGCGGAUUUGGUCCCUUCUAGUCCGGGGUUCUCGACCAUGCAGGUCUGAUUAGUUAUCAGGCGCGAGUUCGAAUCUCGCCACAUCCA